UGAGCGACCUACCUAAUUGUGGGGGAUAGCCGGCCCAACGGCCGGGUAAUACCGCAUACGAUCGGAGAGGGGCAUCCCUUUCUGAGGAAAGCCUUCGGGCGCAAUUUGAGGGGCUCGCGGCCUAUCAGCUAGUUGGCGGGGUAACGGCCCACCAAGGCGACGACGGGUAGCUGGUCUGAGAGGAUGGCCAGCCACAUUGGGACUGAGAUACCGGCCCAGACCUCCUAGUGGGAGCAG
rnacentral:rRNA from 1 species